UAACCAUUUCCAUUUGCAAAUCUUUAUAUAACAAGCUUCUUUGCCUCUGAGAAUGGCCAAAUUCUAACCUCUCUUAGAAACUGAGCCCUUCCGUUCCCUCAUAUCCCAUGGGAAAAAAAAACAGAAAAUGGCGUUCCAAUUUGAAGUCGCAAAAGUGUUUCAAUGCAACCUGAAGAAAUUUUCCAUUUCUACAGAGAUGAGAUGCGUGAAGACUAGCCGUACAUCCCGCCUUGGGUGUGGAUGGUAUGGGGCUGAAGCUGCAGGCUUCGAAGGCAUUCAGACGUAUGGAUUCGAACGGGCUGAGACUCCCUGAUGUUGCGCUGCAUUCGAACUCUCUAGAACCUUCUACUUGGCGAGGGGUACAUGAUCAGGAUAUCGUGUGCAACUCUGUCGAGUCAUCUUGGGAAAUGUGGUCCAGCCUGAAACUAUGGAGGUUCUAUUGAGCUGGUAGGGCUGCUGCUGCAUGCUAUAUCUGGAUCGGUAAACCGAGGAUCAUACGAAAAAGCUGUCAAUCAAUUUAUCUUGCAAGUCAUCGAGCAUUAUCGACCAUUGUUAUGAUUGAAUUUGCUGCGAGUGAUGGUGGAAGUCCCAAUGCGCCUGAAUCCAACAAUGCGUAUUCUGUUGCUGCCCGGGGUGGUCAGUUUGUUGAUCCUGAUGCGACCGAGCCUGCCUCAUGUGACUGAAGAUCGAACGAGAUGCAAUCAGAUGGAAAGAAGACGAGGUGGGCAAGAGGAGGCUAGCUGCUGCAGAUCAUGAGACUGUUGAGUGUUAUUAUUAUUAUGUUUCCUUUAUAUUCCCUAGUGCACUAUUUUGAAAGGCCGAGUAAAAAAAAAGAGUCGUUAAAUGUAUCAACAAGUAAAUUAAAAAAUGAUACUCCAAAAGGUCCGUUAUUAAAUUUGAAAGUCUAGAGAGCCAUUUUGAUGUCAUAAGUAGGAAUGUACGAAUGGAUCCAAAUGGUGGCGAAAUGAGCUUGAAUUUUUAUUGUCUUACAAAUUA